rnacentral:rRNA from 1 species
AUUGAACGCUGGCGGCAUGCCUUACACAUGCAAGUCGAACGGCAGCACGGGGGCAACCCUGGUGGCGAGUGGCGAACGGGUGAGUAAUACAUCGGAACGUAUCCAGUCGUGGGGGAUAACCAGUCGAAAGAUUGGCUAAUACCGCAUGAGAUCGAAAGAUGAAAGCGGGGGACCCGCAAGGGCCUCGCGCGAUCGGAGCGGCCGAUGUCGGAUUAGCUAGUGGCGGGGUAAGAGCCCACCAAGGCGACGAUCCGUAGCUGGUUUGAGAGAACGACCAGCCACACUGGGACUGAGACACGGCCCAGACUCCUACGGGAGGCAGCAGUGGGGAAUUUUGGACAAUGGGGGCAACCCUGAUCCAGCCAUGCCGCGUGUGUGAAGAAGGCCUGGUGUAAG